rnacentral:misc_RNA from 1 species
GUCCACAGUAGCAGAUAUGGUUCAGAAGAUUUGGCAAUUUACAUAUCAAAAUUCCUUAAAGAGAUAAUCUCGCUCAAUACAUAUGGAGAGUGUUGUGCUGAUAACUUUACCAGUAAUCUCCACAAGAGCAACUGCCAUCCCUGAAAUGAUGAAAUCUUUUAUUAUCCCUAACUAUCAAUUCCCUCCCAACAAUCUUGGACAUGAUCUUGAUAGCAUUGUGACAAUCACCACACACCCGGAGGUUCUUAAUGAUCCUCAAGGGUGUUCUUGCAGGAGUACUGAUGAGACCAUAUGCAAUUGCCAAACGCUCACUGUGAUAUAAUAAGGCUUGCUCCUUGGCUUCUUGAUCAAUGUCAUGAAGAACAUAUCUAGUAUCUGGCACAUAACUCACAGCCUUACUCAUUGCCUUCAAUUUCUCAUCAUCUUUGUAAAGGGUAGGAUUCCGGAACUCAACAAUUCUAUUCUUUCCUUCAAGCAUGCUGAUGGCACUAAAUUUCUUUGGCAGCGGAGUAGGGAUCUUGUUGGCAACAGACAUUGAUGAGUCAAGAGCAACCAUCAGCUCCUCAGCACGGUCUUCAAGAUCAACAUCUCCAUGAAUUCGAGCAUAAUUCCUCAAUGCACCCCAAAUUUCCACUGUAGGUGCAAAAGGCAGUUUCUGAAUGUACUCUUCAAUUUCAUCAACAAAUCCAGACUUUCCAAGAACAUCUAUAACCCCCAAAUAAUGUUCCAUCCCAGGAUUAAUUCCAUACUCAUUUUUCAUUGACUCAAAAUGUAAAAAUCCUUCCUCCACUGCAUCUGCACUAGCACAAGCAGACAAAACUGCAAGAAACGUUUCCUCAGUUGGUUUCAACCCCAGUUUCCUCAUCUGCUCAAAUAAUUGCAACCCUUCAUCUCCCAAGUUAUUAUUUGCAUACCCAUUUAUCAUCAGAUGCCAUGUCUCCAUAUUCCUAUCUGGCAUAUGAUCAAAAACUCUCCUAGCAUCAGUCAUACUUGCACAUUUCCCAUACAUUUCAAUCACCUUAUUGUUAAACUUGAGAUCACCUCUAUAUGUUGAUUGCAAAAAGUAAUCAUGUACCUUUUUGGCAUCCUCAAGUUUCCCACACAAAACAAAGCAUAAAAACAAUCAGCAUCAGCUUUAACACCUUCAUCCAUCAACUCAAUGGCUUCCUUAACCUUCCCCCCCUGACACAAACGCAUCAAAUCCACUAUUGAAGGAGCCGGAGCAGCAGCAGGAGCAGGAGCCGGGGCAGGAACAUUGACGUUAGCAUUCAAAUUAGGUACUCGAGUCUCCAAGGCCCCACGUUCUUGAUUUGGGUUUUGCUGAGGAGCCCACUGAACAGGAUUUCUAGCUUGUGGGUAUGUCUGACUUUGAUUGUUCCACUGAUUUGGGCUUCUAGGUUGCCGAUAAUCCUGAACACUAGGGCGCACCUGACCA